rnacentral:rRNA from 1 species
UACGAAGGGGGCUAGCGUUGUUCGGAAUUACUGGGCGUAAAGCGCGUGUAGGCGGCUUUGCAAGUCGGGUGUGAAAGCCCUCAGCUUAACUGAGGAAGUGCGCCCGAAACUGCUUGGCUUGAGUACCGGAGAGGAUGGCGGAAUUCCCCAAGUAGAGGUGAAAUUCGUAGAUAUGGGGAGGAACACCGGUGGCGAAGGCGGCCAUCUGGACGGAUACUGACGCUGAGACGCGAAAGCGUGGGUAGCAAACAGG